AUGCCCAUUUACUCUUGGAGCCAGCUCUCCCCUCCUACCACCACCCGCCACCGCCACCCCCACUGGCUCACUCAUUAGCGUGUUAAUUCUGCCCAUGCCUGUCAUGUUUGCCACGCCCUUCUCAGCAGCACUCAUCCCGGCACUGGGAUUGCCAGUGACUCUGGCUCCCUCAUACAUGAGCUCAUCUGGGUGUGGUCCAUUUUUUGUCAACAUUGCGUCCUCAGAAUUUUGCACAAGGCCACGUUCUGGUGGGAGAUUGAGAAAUAAUUACUGGUUAAAUGAUCUCGAACUUAACUCUUCACCUCUCUGAGCUUCAAUUUUCUUCUCUGUGAAAUUGACAUUAUAACACCCAUCUGUAAAGGAUGUGAAGGUUCCAUGAAAUGAACCUUCAGGGUCCAGACCGGCACAUGGUGGGCUUUAGUCUCCCUUAUCCUAGGGGCUGGAUCCCAAAGGUAGAAUGUGAAGUUCUCGUUUGGGAGCUCACAUCUGGUCGGGAGGACACCAAGUCACGGGGGAAUGACUCACGGUGGGGUUAAGGAAGUCUAGUAUUUUGUGGGAAGGGAAAAAUCAGCCUGGCCAGGGAGUCCCAUAGGGGCUGGGGAGGGGCAGAAAAUGUUCUUAAACAGGUCAGGUGGUGGUGUAAGGCAGAGGACUCCGAAAACCAAGCUGAGGGGUUGGACACCGUCCCCCAAAGAUUGACGGAGUUUCACUCUUGUUACCCAGGCUUGGAAUGCAAUGGCGCGAUCUCGGCUCACCAUAACCUCUGCCUGCUGGGUUCAAGCAAUUCUCCUGCCUCAGCCUCCCGAGUAGCUGGAACUACAGGUAACCACGACUCGGGAAGACAUAGGACAUGUGCCACCCCCGGCUUCUCCUGGUCCUCCCUCCAAGGGCAGCCACUCUUCUGAUCUCUGUUGCCAAGGUUUUGGCUGUUUUUGAACAUCGGGAGCACGUCUUCUUAAAAAGCAUCUUCAAUGUCAUAAUUUUGUAUUCAGAAAAGAAACCAAGAGCCUGGUCAGGCACAGUGCAGAGGGUGGUGAAGGGUCGUGGUGUCGAGGAUCCCAGCAGUGGCAGGUUCAACAGUGCCUCAGCUGGCUGGUGAGCAGGCGGGCAGCCAUACUGCACUGACGUUCUGAAGCUUUGGUGGCGAUGUGGUGUUUCCUGGCUACUGGCAGUGCCCAGGGUAUCAUGAACAUUAUCUGUGCCCCCGCCUUUCUCUUCAGUGGUCCCCAACCCCUAUCAUGCCUGUUCAGUGCUGGACUGGACCACACCCACAGUGGUGGCACUUCCCGGAUGGUGACCUUGGAGCAAAACGCUUAAUGUCUCUGUUUCCAUUUCUUUGUUAAAUGGGGGAUAAUUAUAGUACCUAACUCAGGUUUGUUAAGAGAAUAAAGUGAAUUGAUUGUAAUAAAUACUUGUCUGGAGUUUAGAAGAGUGUUUAAUAUGUAGUAAGUGCGUAUGCCAAAAUUAAAUAAACCUUCA